rnacentral:rRNA from 1 species
GCAUGAAGUCGGAAUUGCUAGUAAUCGUAGGUCAGCAUACUACGGUGAAUACGUUCCCGGGCCUUGUACACACCGCCCGUCAAGCCAUGGGAGCCGGGAGCGCUUGAAGUGCGUCGCCGCGAGGCGCGCCCUAGAGCGAGACCGGUGACUGGGGCUAAGUCGUAACAAGGUAGC